rnacentral:rRNA from 1 species
GACGAACGCUGGCGGCGUGCUUAACACAUGCAAGUCGAACGGAAAGGCCCUUCGGGGUACUCGAGUGGCGAACGGGUGAGUAACACGUGGGUGAUCUGCCCUGCACUUUGGGAUAAGCCUGGGAAACUGGGUCUAAUACCGAAUAGGACCACGCGCUUCAUGGUGUGUGGUGGAAAGCUUUUGCGGUGUGGGAUGGGCCCGCGGCCUAUCAGCUUGUUGGUGGGGUAAUGGCCUACCAAGGCGACGACGGGUAGCCGGCCUGAGAGGGUGACCGGCCACACUGGGACUGAGAUACGGCCCAGACUCCUACGGGAGGCAGCAGUGGGGAAUAUUGCACAAUGGGCGCAAGCCUGAUGCAGCGACGCCGCGUGAGGGAUGACGGCCUUCGGGUUGUAAACCUCUUUCAAUAGGGACGAAGCGCAAGUGACGGUACCUAUAGAAGGAGCACCGGCCAACUACGU